GGCAGUAUUGCCUAGUGGGUAGAGCGCUGGACUGCGAGACCAGGGUUCAAAUCCCAGUUCUGCCU
rnacentral:tRNA from 1 species